rnacentral:rRNA from 1 species
UACGGAGGGUGCGAGCGUGUCCGGAUUUAUUGGGUUUAAAGGGUGCGUAGGUGGCUUAGUAAGUCAGUGGUGAAAGCCGAUCGCUUAACGAUCGAACUGCCAUUGAUACUGCCAGGCUUGAGUAUAGUUGAGGUAAGGCGGAAUUGACAGUGUAGCGGUGAAAUGCAUAGAUAUUGUCAAGAACACCAAUUGCAAGGCAGCUUCUAAAGUAUAACUGACGCGUGAG